rnacentral:ribozyme from 13 species
UUUCUGUUGUUCUUCCUUCUUCUUCUCUUUUCUUUUGGUUUUCUCUUUUUUCUGGUUUUGGUUCUUAUGUCUUCCAUAACCUACAAAGAAUUGGAAGAGGGGUUAG